UUGCCAUAGUGGAGGAUUCUCAGAGCGAUUUCCUAGGACUGAGGUACCAUCACUGUCUUCCCACAGUAUACAGUCCUUUAUGAAGUGCUCCAGUGUGGUUCCUCUCCAUGGGGUACAGUCCUUCAGAAAAAGACUGCUCCAGUGUGGACCACUCUGGGGCCGCAGAUCCUUCCUGAAAGCCUGCUUUUCCCUGGGCUCUUUAAUCGCACCAGGUUCUUUUAGGGCAUAUCCUACUUAUGCAGCACAAGGUCCUCCAUGGACUGCCGCAGGACAAUGUGUUUUACCAUUUUCUUCACAGGCUGCAGGGGAAUCUGUGCUCUGCCACCUGGAGCAUCUCCUCAGCCUCCUUGUUCACUGACGUUGGUGUCUGCAGGAUUUUUAUCUCACAGUUUUUCUUACUUUUUUCCCUCACAGAUGCUAUGCAGUACUUUUUACCUGUUGUAAAUAUGCUUUCACAAAGGCACCACCAGCUUGCUGAUUGGCUUAACUUUCGCCAGCAGUGGAGCUAUUUGGAGCUGGCUGGAAUCACCCAUGUCUGACACAGGGGCAGCCGUGGUCUCCUUGCACAGAGACAACUUGUGCAGCCUGCCCGCCUUCACAACCCUUGCCACGUAAACCCAACAGAGCCACAAGGUCACAUUGCUGGCACAUGUUUAAUUUGGUGUUCACUAUGAGCCUUAGAGCCCUUCCAGCUGAACAGCCUCCAGAAUGUCUGGUACUUUAAACCGUCGCUCACAGGUACCAGUUCCUUUCCCUCCUGUUGUGGGUGAGCCCCGACAGGCAGCUAAGCACCAUACAGGCGCUCGCUCAAUGCCCCCUCAGCGGGAUGGGGGAGAGAAUUGGAAGGGUAAAAGAGAGAAAACUCGUAGGUUUAGAUUAAGACAGUUUAAUAGGUGAAGGAAAAGGUGCACGCACAAGGCGAAUAAACUAACCAAUUCAUUCCCUACUUCCCAUUCGCAGGCAGGUGUUCGGCCAUUUCCAGGAAAGCCGGCCUUCCUCGCGCCUGUGGGCGAAGACAAAAGCCGUAACUCCAAACGUCCAGGGCCGGGAGCCUCCGCCUGCCGGGGCGCCGCGCUCCUCCUGUGCUCGCGGCCCUCCUCGCGUCCCCCUUUUCUUUUGCCGCGAAGCGGCCGCGGCAUCGGGGGGCCGGUCCGGGGCGGGUCUGUUGGAGGCGGGCAGAAGCGCCGGCGCUGCCCCAGCGAGGGGUCGGGGCGGUGGGGCGGGCCCGAACGCGGCUCCGCUCGGCUCCUCUCCGGCUCCCGCAUGAUGGUGCCCGGACUGGGGCCGUGGCUGCUGGCCUUGGCCUUGGCCUUGGCGUUGGGGCCGGCAGGCAGAAAACAACAACGAGUUUUAUUUAAGAAGAAACACAACAAGCACUGAAGGACUAAAGUUUGAGCCUUGCAUCCCCCUGCUUCUUUCCCCAGCAUCAAGUCUCCAGCUUCAAUGUGUUCCUCUACUCUCUGCAACUCCCUUCCCAUACCUGUCCUGGAUUGCUUCCCAAAGGGCCCUUGUUGGAGUGCUCAUGAAAAGAGAGGGGAGGGGAAGGGUUCACACAGUCCUUUGAGUUAGCAAUUUUCCUUAAAAUGGUGGUAACAGUCAGGUCUGUGACACAGGAUUCAGUACUUGUCCCGUCGGAUGGGUGCAAAGGUCCUAGGGGAUGCUCUGGGUUCCUGCUGAGUGAACACAGAGAAGGGAGUGUCCCUACUCUGCUGAGCAGCCCCAACAGCCUGGUCUGUGCUAAGUCCUAUGCACAUGAGUUUUGGGGAGGCUUCAGCCUACAUAUCUGCCCCAGACCUUCAGCACCAAGGACAACCCAGGUCUUGUAGGCUCUGUAAGGCCUUUGCUGCUUGGGGUGUCCGGGAAGCUCUUGCCAAGGAAGAAGCAGGUGGCGAAGUGUCAGCAUGAGGCAGUGAGUGUGUGUAGAACUAGGGUGCUGGGCCAGAGUGGAGGGCACUGAAUGGGCAGCAUGUUUGCUUAGGGGUGCCCUGUGCAAGCAGACCUGAGCUCAGAGGGUCCCAUCCAUGAGCAGCCGCUCACCAGCACCAAGGGAUGUGGGGCCACUGGGAUGAAAGUGUGCCAUCCUCCAAGGCCAGCUCUGAAGUCCCAGCAGUACGCUGCAGUCCUUCCUUUGAGGGAGAUCCAGCUGGCCCUACGUUACCUGUUGGCCACCAGUUUUCCUGCCAGUUGAGUGCUCUGUUAUUCUGUUUCUGAAAGAUAGAUUCUUCUGGAAAGAAGCAGGGUAGAGAUUUCAGCAAGGGCUUAAGGAAUUCAAGCACCCAUGCAUGCACAAACCACCUCCUAGUUCCCUUCCAAAACGUACCUUCGUAUGCCUAGAACACUUUUCUGGAGGAAAGGGAGACUUCCUCUCAUUUCAUUUCCUCUGAAGCAGAACUGAAGGACACAUGUUCAGCAGCAUCUCGUGGAACACUGAUAGCCUAAAUGUUCUAACUCAUCACUGGCAGAGCACCUUCUGCAAUUUUUUUUGGGGGAGUGGACCAGGACAGAGAAAGAAAAACUACAGGCAGAACUUGACUUUUAAACCAAACAAAUCAAACUGUGUGGUUUGUGUGAAGCUGUGAAGGCAGGUGUGUUUCUGUGGCCACUCGAAUGGAAAAAGGCUGUUUAACUGCAUCUGAGAUCUCAGUGACAAGGAGGAUGCAGUCUCACUGCAAAGGGUGUGGGAGAAGUACCCAGGUCUGUUACAGGAGGUAUUUAGAGCUUGUUCUCUUUCUCCUGCCAACAAUUCGAGAGACUGAAGGUAUCACAUCAGCCAACUCUACAACUUUCCUGGAAGAGCGAGUCAAUAGAAGGAGAAAACAAUUUGAUACAGUAAAGGGAAUGGCAGAUGAACAUGCCUGUGUUAAUAAUUGGAAAUAUAGCAGCACUGUUAAAAACUGUGAUUAAAAAUGAGAAAUAUACCUUUGUAUUUCGUAACAACAAUAACGCAAAUAAAAAUACUGAGUAAUACAGCAUGGAAGCA